UACGUAGGGUGCAAGCGUUAAUCGGAAUUACUGGGCGUAAAGCGUGCGCAGGCGGUUACGCAAGACAGAGGUGAAAUCCCCGGGCUCAACCUGGGAACUGCCUUUGUGACUGCAUAGCUAGAGUACGGCAGAGGGGGAUGGAAUUCCGCGUGUAGCAGUGAAAUGCGUAGAUAUGCGGAGGAACACCGAUGGCGAAGGCAAUCCCCUGGGCCUGUACUGACGCUCAUGCACGAAAGCGUGGGGAGCAAACAGG
rnacentral:rRNA from 1 species